GUGGGGAAUCUUCCGCAAUGGACGAAAGUCUGACGGAGCAACGCCGCGUGAGUGAUGAAGGUCUUCGGAUUGUAAAGCUCUGUUAAUCGGGACGAAAGAGCCUAGUGUGAAUAAUGCUAGGAAGUGACGGUACCGGAAUAGAAAGCCACGGCUAACUACGUGCCAGCAGCCGCGGUAAUACGUAGGUGGCAAGCGUUGUCCGGAAUUAUUGGGCGUAAAGCGCGCGCAGGCGGAUCUGCCAGUCUGUCUUAAAAGUUCGGGGCUUAACCCCGUGAUGGGAUGGAAACUACAGAUCUAGAGUAUCGAAGAGGAAAGUGGAAUUCCUAGUGUAGCGGUGAAAUGCGUAGAUAUUAGGAAGAACACCAGUGGCGAAGGCGACUUUCUGGACGAAAACUGACGCUGAGGCGCGAAAGCCAGGGGAGCGAACGGGAUUAGAUACCCGAGUAGUCC
rnacentral:rRNA from 1 species